rnacentral:rRNA from 1 species
UACAGAGGUCUCAAGCGUUGUUCGGAUUCAUUGGGCGUAAAGGGUGUGUAGGUGGCGCCGUAAGUCGGUGUGAAAUUUCGGAGCUUAACUCCGAAACUGCAUUCGAUACUGCGUGCUUGAGGACUGGAGAGGAGACUGGAAUUCAUGGUGUAGCAGUGAAAUGCGUAGAGAUCAUGAGGAAGACCAGUGGCGAAGGCGGGUCUCUGGACAGUUCCUGACACUGAGACACGAAGGCCAGGGGAGCAAACGGGG